GUAUGUUUGACAAAGGAUGGUUUAUCUUCAUUGGGUAUAAGUAAUUUGCACAAUAGUAUUUCGUCUUUGGGAGAUGGAAAACACUUGAAAUCUGAUGAUUUCAAGACCAUGUUGCUUUGCUCAAAGGUUGCACCUCAAUAUCAUCGUGUGACUGAUUUACUGCCAAUUUACCAAGUAAAUACACUCCCAGGUCGUUUCUUUAAGGAACACGCAACAUUUUUUUUUUGUUUCAAACGACCUGGAAGUAACAGCCUGUCCAUCGAUCACCACAAUUUCAAAGUUCAACACACUUGGUGUUCCUGUUGGUGAACAUGAGGCACUUCUACUUCUCAAGGCUUCUCUCACCUCAACAUCAGCUUUAACUGAUUUAUUCAAUGCUUUUCGGAAGGAACCAAAUUAAAGGAAAGCCAACGACUUGAAGCCCUAAGAGAAGUCUGAUCUAUAGUUUUUGUGUCUGUUUACAUGCUUUUCUGAUGUUACAACUUGCUUUGCUCUUCUUUGUUAACUUUUGCCUCUCUGUUUGAUGGUCACAAGCACUACUAAUUAAUAUUGUAGACUUUUUCUUA